rnacentral:lncRNA from 1 species
UUUCCAGCUAAGUUUAUUUCUUAAUAAAAUAAACGAAGCGGGUAGCGUGCUACCUAUCUCUCAAAAAAAAGAAAAAAAAAAUUUGUUUCGUUAAUUCAUUUUAGAUAAUGGUAUCAGAAAUUUCAACAUCUUUUUAGAAACAACCGGAUAAGAUAUUAAUGAUUAAGUAGUAAUAAAUAAAAUAGCCAGUUAAUAUACUUUUUUCUUUUCAAAAAUAAUGAAAAAUUUGAUUUUAGCUAGAUUGAGAGAGCUUAGCUUAGAGAGAGAGAGAGAGAGAGAUAAAAUUUGAGGUUAAAGGAAAAGAGUUUAGAUUAGAAAGAGUUUUAGGUUAGAGUUGUGAAGAGAUAAAAAGAGAGGAAGAACUUAGCUUAAAGAGAGAUUUGAGGUUAGAGGGAGCGACAGAGUUGAGAUUUUUAGAGAGAGGAAGAGAGAGCAUGGGUUAGAGAGAGAGCAUAAUUAAAGAAAUAGGGAGAGAGAUCGAGUCGAGGUUAGAGGGAGAGAGAGUUGAGAUUUUUAGAAAGAGAGGGAGAGGGAGCUUAGCUUAGAGAGAGAACAAGAGCUUAAAUUUUGAGAAAGAAAGAUAAGGUUAGAGAGAGAUAUGAGGUUACAGAGUAAAACAAAAUAUUACCAACUAGCUGGGGGGUAGGGACAAAGAAAAAGAGUUGGCGGGAUUAAACAUAUUAUGAAUAUCUUGGGCUGGCCAAUCUAUUAAUAUAAAGAUACCUACUCUCCCCCAGAGGAAUGAGAUUAGUACUUUGAGAAGAAUCUCAAAUUCCAGGUAAAUCUAACAUUACCAACUAGAUUACAUAAUGCGUUUAGUUAAAUACUAUCAUAUUUUGUUAUUCCUAUUAGAUUACUGGAAAUCUUAAACAGAUAGUGCGAACCUAACACACCCUAAGAGUUACAAAAAUUGAAAGGUUAUAAGGUAA